GGGAGGUUGCUUCGGUAACUGACCUAGCGGCGGACGGGUGAGUAAUACUUAGGAAUCUGCCUAUUAAUGGGGGACAACAUCUCGAAAGGGAUGCUAAUACCGCAUACGCCCUACGGGGGAAAGCAGGGGAUCACUUGUGACCUUGCGUUAAUAGAUGAGCCUAAGUCGGAUUAGCUAGUUGGUGGGGUAAAGGCCUACCAAGGCGACGAUCUGUAGCGGGUCUGAGAGGAUGAUCCGCCACACUGGGACUGAGACACGGCCCAGACUCCUACGGGAGGCAGCAGUGGGGAAUAUUGGACAAUGGGGGGAACCCUGAUCCAGCCAUGCCGCGUGUGUGAAGAAGGCCUUAUGGUUGUAAAGCACUUUAAGCGAGGAGGAGGCUCUCUUGGUUAAUACCCAAGAUGAGUGGACGUUACUCGCAGAAUAAGCACCGGCUAACUCUGUGCCAGCAGCCGCGGUAAUACAGAGGGUGCGAGCGUUAAUCGGAUUUACUGGGCGUAAAGCGUGCGUAGGCGGCUUUUUAAGUCGGAUGUGAAAUCCCCGAGCUUAACUUGGGAAUUGCAUUCGAUACUGGGAAGCUAGAGUAUGGGAGAGGAUGGUAGAAUUCCAGGUGUAGCGGUGAAAUGCGUAGAGAUCUGGAGGAAUACCGAUGGCGAAGGCAGCCAUCUGGCCUAAUACUGACGCUGAGGUACGAAAGCAUGGGGAGCAAACAGGAUUAGAUACCCUGGUAGUCCAUGCCGUAAACGAUGUCUACUAGCCGUUGGGGCCUUUGAGGCUUUAGUGGCGCAGCUAACGCGAUAAGUAGACCGCCUGGGGAGUACGGUCGCAAGACUAAAACUCAAAUGAAUUGACGGGGGCCCGCACAAGCGGUGGAGCAUGUGGUUUAAUUCGAUGCAACGCGAAGAACCUUACCUGGUCUUGACAUAGUAAGAACUUUCCAGAGAUGGAUUGGUGCCUUCGGGACUUACAUACAGGUGCUGCAUGGCUGUCGUCAGCUCGUGUCGUGAGAUGUUGGGUUAAGUCCCGCACCAGAGCGCAAACCCACUCAA
rnacentral:rRNA from 1 species